rnacentral:lncRNA from 1 species
CAGCUUCUUGCUUUGUUGGGGCUAAUAAAUAUAGGACUAAAAUUUGGUGACCAAAAACUUGAAUCUAUCAAAUGUCCAGUAGGAGAUGGCUAGGUGCAACCAGGUCAGCAGCAUUGCUUAGUGGCAUCAUUUGUUAAAUUCACAACUUGUGGACAAUUCUUCAUCAACAUCAUAGGUAAUUACAUUGUAACAAUUGAACUCCAACCACUCACAAGCUUGAUGAGGCUGACAUC